UGAGAUACUCAAAAGUUAGUAACUCAUUCAAGAAAUGGAAAAUGAUGUCUUCUAUUUUGUCUAUUUUUACUUAUCGCUUUGCCGUUUAGGCCCAAAGAAAAACCAACCUUUCACUAUCUUAGUAGCUCGUCAAAUGACACCAAAGCUAACAUAUUAACAUCAUCAUCAUCAUAAUCGUUUUUGGAGUGUUAGAUUCUGGUCAAUUAGAGAAGAACACAACAAUCCAUAAAAAUUGAAGUAUCCGUGUCUCAGAAGCUUGAGAAAGAACUAAUAUGGAUUGGUUCGAGUGGUCAACUCACUUUUUUAUUUGAAAAGAACGUAUGGAGAUCUGAAUCAAGUGGUGUAGAAUGUGGUACUUUUCAAUGAUUGGCCUCAUAUCAUAAUGUAGUGUGGACCGUACGGAACAGACAUGAUGAAGAAACAAUUAGUGGACGAAAUGUGUUCAUAGGUCAGAUAGAUAGAACUUUCAGUGUUGGUAGCUAUUCAAUUUAGCCCAUGAUCAUUGUUACCUUUUCAGAGCAACCAAGUUGUGUACAUAUGAAUUGUAUAUGAUCUCAAAUUUAUGGAUUCAAGUUGUGCAAUCAUAUUUGUAUAUUAAACUACUAGGAAAAAUUUCAGGUAUGUCAGUUAUUUUAUUGGAAGUCUGAAAUUUCAAUUAUGCGAUCCGUUGAGAUUUAAAAUAAAAUAAUAUGAAUAGCUGCGAUUUGUUUCAGGAUGUUGGAAUUGGAAGCUGCGAAGCCAGAGUCAAGUUUUUGAAUGAAUGAGUAAAUCGAGUUGUAUCUUUUGGAUAACACGCUUCUUUUUGUUUUGUAGGAAACCGAAACUCAAAGGAAGAAAUAUUGGAAAAGUUGAUGAGUGAGAAGGUAGUGUGGAUCACAAAAGGAAAAUUUUCAUUUGUUGGGGAAAAAAAAGAGCUGGGAAAAAAUUUUAUUGGCACUCGAUUAAAAGGAAUAAUCUAUUGACUAUUGAGUGAUGAUGUUGUUAUGAAUCUAUAUAUCUCUAUACUGUUAUAUACUAACAAUAGAGAAGCCAAGCUAUUUUCAUGUUAAAUUGAAUUCAUUUUAUUCGA